GAUGAAGAACGCAGCGAAAUGCGAUAAGUAGUGUGAAUUGCAGAAUUCAGUGAAUCAUCGAAUCUUUGAACGCACAUUGCGCCCCUUGGUAUCCCGAGGGGCAUGCCUGUUCGAGCGUCAUUUCACCACUCAAGCCUGGCUUGGUGUUGGGCGACGUCCCCUUUGGAGACGCGCCUCGAAACGCUCGGCGGCGUGGCACCGGCUUUAAGCGUAGCAGAAUCUUUCGCUUUGGAAGUCGGGGCCCCGUCUGCCGGAAGACCUACUCGCAAGGUUGACCUCGGAUCAGGCAGGGAUACCCGCUGAACUUAAGCAUAUCAAUAAGCGGAGG
rnacentral:misc_RNA from 1 species